CCCUCAGAGAAAACAUGAAUGGGUGUGAAAGAACCUAGUGGGGAAACCCCCACUCAAUUCUCGAUUCGGCGCGCACCCAAGAAUCACAAACAGAAGA
rnacentral:pre_miRNA from 7 species